rnacentral:misc_RNA from 1 species
UUUCCGUAGGUGAACCUGCGGAAGGAUCAUUAUUGAAUAAACCUGAUGUGGUUGUAGCUGGCCCUUUCGGGAGCAUGUGCACACCCGUCGUCUUUAUCUUUCCACCUGUGCACCUUUUGUAGACCUGGAUGUACCACUUUCCGAGGCAACUCGGUCGGGAGGAAUGCUGUCAGCUUUCCUUGAAUGUCCAGGCCUAUGUUUUCAUAUACCCCAAAGAAUGUAACAGAAUGUAUUAUUGGGCCUUGUGCCUAUAAACUAUAUACAACUUUCAGCAACGGAUCUCUUGGCUCUC